rnacentral:rRNA from 1 species
GGUGAGUAACACGUGGGUGAUCUGCCCUGCACUUCGGGAUAAGCCUGGGAAACUGGGUCUAAUACCGGAUAGGACCCCUCUUUAGUGUGGGGGGUGGAAAGUUUUUUCGGUGUGGGAUGAGCCCGCGGCCUAUCAGCUUGUUGGUGGGGUAAUGGCCUACCAAGGCGUCGACGGGUAGCCGGCCUGAGAGGGUGGACGGCCACAUUGGGACUGAGAUACGGCCCAGACUCCUACGGGAGGCAGCAGUGGGGAAUAUUGCACAAUGGGCGGAAGCCUGAUGCAGCGACGCCGCGUGGGGGAUGACGGCCUUCGGGUUGUAAACUCCUUUCACCAUCGACGAAGGUUUUCUGACGGUAGAUGGAGAAGAAGCACCGGCUAACUACGUGCCAGCAGCCGCGGUAAUACGUAGGGUGCGAGCGUUGUCCGGAAUUACUGGGCGUAAAGAGCUCGUAGGUGGUUUGUCGCGUCGUCUGUGAAAUUCCGGGGCUUAACUCCGGGCGUGCAGGCGAUACGGGCAUAACUUGAGUACUGUAGGGGAGACUGGAAUUCCUGGUGUAGCGGUGAAAUGCGCAGAUAUCAGGAGGAACACCGGUGGCGAAGGCGGGUCUCUGGGCAGUAACUGACGCUGAGGAGCGAAAGCAUGGGUAGCGAACAGGAUUAGAUACCCUGGUAGUCCAUGCCGUAAACGGUGGGCGCUAGGUGUAGGGGUCUUCCACGACUUCUGUGCCGUAGCUAACGCAUUAAGCGCCCCGCCUGGGGAGUACGGCCGCAAGGCUAAAACUCAAAGGAAUUGACGGGGGCCCGCACAAGCGGCGGAGCAUGUGGAUUAAUUCGAUGCAACGCGAAGAACCUUACCAAGGCUUGACAUACACCGGAAACAUUCAGAGAUGGGUGCCCCGUAAGGUCGGUGUACAGGUGGUGCAUGGUUGUCGUCAGCUCGUGUCGUGAGAUGUUGGGUUAAGUCCCGCAACGAGCGCAACCCUCGUUCCAUGUUGCCAGCAACACUUUUAGUGGUUGGGGACUCAUGGGAGACUGCCGGGGUCAACUCGGAGGAAGGUGGGGAUGACGUCAAAUCAUCAUGCCCCUUAUGUCUUGGGCUUCACACAUGCUACAAUGGCCGGUACAAAGGGCUGCGAUACCGCGAGGUGGAGCGAAUCCCAAAAAACCGGUCUCA